AUUGAACGCUGGCGGCAGGCCUAACACAUGCAAGUCGAACGAGUGGCGGACGGGUGAGUAAUGUCUGGGAAACCGCCCGAUGGAGGGGGAUAACUACUGGAAACGGUCGCUAAUAACGCAUACCAUCGGAUGUGCCCAGAUGGGAUUAGCUAGUAGGUGGGGUAACGGCUCACCUAGGCGGCGCUCCCUCGCUGGUCUGAGAGGCGGACCAGCCACACGGGAAUGGGGACAGGGUCCAGACUCCUAGGGGAGGCAGCAGUGGGGAAUAUUGGACAAGGGGCGCAAGCCUGAUGCAGCCAUGCCGGGUGUGUGAAGAAGGCCUUCGGGUGGUAAAGUACUUUAAGCGGGGAGGCGUUACCCGCAGAAGAAGCACCGGCUAACUCCGUGCCAGCAGCCGCGGUAAUUC
rnacentral:rRNA from 1 species